GUAGUAAAUGUUGCCAAAAAGGCAGAACCACAGACUGACUGACAUCAAAAGGGACCUCUCUGGACUAUGGGGGCUAUAAGAAAGAGGGGGACAGGCUUUUCAGCAGAGUCUGCUGUGACAGGACAAGGGGAAAUGAUUUCAAACUAAAAGAGGGGAGGCUUAACUGGAUAUAAAGAAAAAGUUUUUUAUGAUAAGUGUGGUGAGGCACUAGAUUGAACAAUAUACCCAGAGAAGUGGUGGAAGCCCCAUCCUUAGAGACAUUCAAGGUCAGGCUGGUCAGGGCUCUGAGCAACCUGAUCUAGUUGUAAGUGUUGCUGUUCAUUGCAGGGAAGUUGGACUAGGUGACCCUCAAAGGUCUCUUCCAACCCCAGUGAUUCCAUGAUUCUAUGAUCCGAUCACUUCCCUUUUUUCCUUCCAGCAUAAACACUAAUUUACAGUAUUCCAUACUAACACUGCAAAGGUGGUUUUUUUUUUUUUUUUUUUUUCCUCUCUGUAUGUGAUCUCUUAUUUUUGUGCAUGUGUUAGCUCUCAUGAUUGGAAAAAUGUACUGCUUCUAGCACAGAAUUUUCAGCCUAUAAUUUUAGUUUGGAUUUCACUGCACUGAUUUCAGUGCAGUUGUUCCUGAGUUACAUAUGAAGAACAGAAAGACAGUAGCAGAGGAACACUGAUAAAAUGGUGCCUGACAUGAAGCAGAAGUAUGCAAUUAUUUCCUCCACGUGGAAAAAAAGUUGCAUCCACAUACAGUGAUGCUUGCUGAACGCAUAUGAAGACCGAACAGUGGAUGUGAGCACUGUGAGGCGGUGGGUGGUGCAUUUCAGCAACGGUGACAAUGAUGUGAAAGACAAGCCAUAUUCUGGACAUCCUUGCACAGCUGUCACACUAUGAAAUGGAGAGCAUCUUGAUCAGCUCAUCUGGGUGGUUUACUUCAGAUUGGUGAGGUGCUGAUUUUAUUUAUGUAAAUGGAAGAUGUUAUAACUCGGAAAUUGAAAGCUCAGUGAGGUAAAGUAGAAAACAAUUCUGAGUCUAUUGCUCAUGGACUUGAUCUUCAUCAUUUGGUAUAAAUGGAUGGCAAGAGAUGCAGAAUUCUCAACUCUGAACUAUUGAUCCUCUAUAGCUAUUUGUUCAGGCUCUAAAUCCCAUCUGGCUGAAAAUGCAGCUUAGGUUUUCUAUGAGCCAUAAAUUAUAAACGUUAUGCUUGUGCUCUCUGGAACACUCUCAGACUUGAUAUACUCAGGGAAUUUCUUGUUAGGACUUGAGACUAGCCAUUAUCCAAAAAAGUGUAGUAGUUAUCUUCACAUAUUUAUGAACAUUAUUCAGAAACAUACACUGUCAAAAUAUUUCUGUCAGCGUGAACAAAUGCUUGUUCUUCAUUGUUACACCACUUUCAUCUAAAAUUCUUACCUUCACAAUGCAAAAUCAUUCAGAGAAGAAACUGAGGAAAAUUCAGUAAGAGUUUUACUCAGAGGUUUUUAUGCAAUACGAAUGGUAAUGUUUACUCAACAGUGAUUGUCCCA
rnacentral:lncRNA from 1 species